rnacentral:rRNA from 1 species
GACGAACGCUGGCGGCGUGCUUAACACAUGCAAGUCGAACGGAAAGGCCCUGCUUUUGCGGGGUGCUUGAUUGCCGAACGGGUGAGUAACACGUGAGUAACCUGCACUUGACUUUGGGAUAACUUCAGGAAACUGGGGCUAAUACCGGAUAGGAUCUCCUGCUGCAUGGUGGUGGUUGGUAAGUUUCGGCGGUUGGGGAUGGACUCGCUGCUUAUCAGCUUGUUGGUGGGGUAGUGGCUUACAAAGGCUUUGACGGGUAGCCGGCCUGAGAGGGUUGACGGCCACAAUGGGACUGAGAUACGGCGCAGAAUCCUACGGGAGGCAGCAGUGGGGAAUAUUGCACAAUGGGGCGAAGCCUGAUGCAGAAACGCCGCGUGCGGGAUGACGGCCUUCGGGUUGUAAACCGAUUUCGACUGUGACGAAGCGUGAGUGACGGUAAUGGGUAAAGAAGCACCGGCUAACUACGUG